rnacentral:lncRNA from 1 species
CUGGAAAUGCGUCCAGGCCGGGGUCACCUACCUCUUUGUGCAGCUAUGUAAGAUGUUGUUCUUGGCCACUUUCUUCCCCACCUGGGAAGGGGGCAUCUAUGACUUCAUUGGGGACCUUUGUCCAUCUCUGCUCCUUGGGUAGUUGGACAGCGCUGCUGGCCCGGGCAGUGGUGACAGGAUUGCUGGCCCUCAGCACCUUGGCCCUGUAUGUUGCUGUUGUCAAUGUACACUCCUAGUUUGGCAUCCCAGGGGUUGGCGUACCUUUUCAUUGCCUCUCUCCAGAUUUUAGUGAAGUAAACAGUGUUUGG